rnacentral:rRNA from 1 species
AUUGAACGCUGGCGGCAGGCCUAACACAUGCAAGUCGAACGAGUGGCGGACGGGUGAGUAAUGUCUGGGAAACUGCCCGAUGGAGGGGGAUAACUACUGGAAACGGUAGCUAAUACCGCAUACCAUCGGAUGUGCCCAGAUGGGAUUAGCUAGUAGGUGGGGUAAUGGCUCACCUAGGCGAAGAUCCCUAGCUGGCCUGAGAGGAUGACCAGCCACACUGGAAUGGAGACACGGUCCAGACGCCUACGGGAGGCAGAAGUGGGGAAUAUUGGACAUUGGGCGCAAGCCUGAUGCAUCAAUGCCGCGUGUAUGAAGAAGGCCUUCGGGUUGUAAAGUACUUUCAGCGGGGAGGCGUUACCCGCAGAAGAAGCACCGGCUAACUCCGUGCCAGCCGCCGCGGUAAUAC